UGAAAACAUGGUAAAGACAUACAGUGCUUUUAUGCACAUUGUUAAGCUAAAUCAAGGUCAUUUAUAAUCAUUUUCCUUUUUUAUUUAAGAUUUUAAGUAAACAAAUUUUAGAAUUUUCAGCAUUUCAAAAAUGAUUUUAUUUUUCAAGUCUUAAAUUCAAUAUUUUACACCUAUGUUUUGAGGCUAAAAAUAUGAAAUUAUAUAAUGUAUGAUACAGGGUUAUCAAAUAUCUAAUAAUUUUUGAAAUUAGCUCUUGUUUUUGGUUUUUUUGUUGUUGUUUUUACAGAUUUCAGGUUACAAACUGCAAAGUUUAUGCAUAAUUAAGUAUGGUAUGGUUGCCAGAAAAGCCUAAAAUUACUACUUAGAAAAUUUAAGACUGUUUACCCCCAUUGUCUUGUACUUGCGAGCUAACUUGUACUAUUCUUGUGAAAGCACUGUCAUCUUUUAGUAGCAAAUUUUGAUAAUGUUUCUCGUGGAAAAAAAAAUCAGUAUCUAUCUUUAGAACAAUGUAAUUAUAAUGUGGGAAGUGUGCAUGAAUGAGAGAGAGUGUGUGUGUAUCUGUGUGUGUGUGCGCGUGUGUGUGUGUCUUUUAAUAGUUUAUGCCAGCAAUCUUUGCUUGAAUGUUUAACGAUGCCUUCAGUGUGAUGCUGGCCAAUAGAUGAUUGCAGUUUAAAAUGUCAUUAUUGUGCAGGCUUGGAUAACUAACAUUCCAUGAUGUAGCUUGUUUCUGAUGAGAUGAUUGUAGGUACAUUUUUCUCAUUAUCCAAUCAUCUGUGGGAUACUUAGUUUUCUAAUGUGCCAUUAUCUAUUUUUAUUCUGCAGUUAUGUUCAAAAUACAGUACAUAUUUUAAAAUAGAAUAAAUUGUUAAACAUAAAAUUUUAAAAGUAGUAGAUGUGCGUAAGAAAACUUUGUAAAAUAGUUAUGAGUCCUACCCAGUAGCAACUUCUGGCAUUCAAGCAGGAUUCCACUAUGUAAAUAUCUGUAAUGCAUUUAUAAUAAGUUGUGUAGUUUGUCCUGCAUCCAUACUACACUAUUUGCUAAAGUCUCAGUGCCAUCUCCUAAUGAGACUGACAUUUUAAAAGUCUGUAUGGAAUAUCCUUGAUAAUUCAAGGAAAUAUCCCUCCUGCCUAAGUUCCAAACUGGGAAACAUUCAAAUUAUAUAAAUGACAUUUCAGGACUUUAAGUAUGAAGAUAAUGGGAAUUUUAUUGUUUUGCUUUUUAAAAUGAGAGCAUUUUUAUUUGAUAAUUUUUUUUAAAUUUUUAAUUUUUAACUAAUUUCAUUAUUUUAAAGUAAUCAGUUUUUCAAAUCAUGAUUUUGAUAUCAUUAUUCUAAGGAGUUAUCUCAAAGGCACAAAAUAUGAAUUCUGCAAGAAGGCUAUUUUUUAUUGUAGUUUGAAUGGGUUAGGAAAAGCCUCAAUUUUUCACUCUUAAGUCCUUCAGUACAUUUUUCUUUCAUCUUAUUACUUAUGCAAGUUAAGGUUCUUUGGUAACAGAAUUCUUGCAACUGUAAAAUAAAACUACAUAGAUGUAAGAAGUCAUGUAAACGGUUAACAAGCUUACCAAGGUUAGCAAAACUUUCAUUGUAAAUCAGUCUGUACUGAGCAAAUAAAAAUCAUUAUUAGUUGUAUAAACACAAAUUCCAUUUUGACUUUCAGGAUGUCAUACUACUUCUGUACCUAGCAUUUUCAGUCCUUAUAUUUGCAAUGUUACACAAACUGUACUAUUUUCUUUUAUGUGCAGUUUGCAUGAGUAAACCAUCAGAGAAUAAAUUCUAUCUUUAAAUUAUGUUCAU
rnacentral:lncRNA from 1 species